AAACUUUCAACAACGGAUCUCUUGGUUCUGGCAUCGAUGAAGAACGCAGCGAAAUGCGAUAAGUAAUGUGAAUUGCAGAAUUCAGUGAAUCAUCGAAUCUUUGAACGCACAUUCGCGCCGCCAGCAUUCUGGCGAGCAUGCCUGUUCGAGCGUCAUUU
rnacentral:rRNA from 1 species